CCUGUUUCACAGACCAACUCAUCUCUAUCUUUUUCUUGUUUUUUCUCUAAAAGUCUAAUAGAGAUCAAGUCUUCUUAUUGACUUCCUCUCUCAUCUGUUUCAUUAUUUGCUCUCAAUCGACCUUCAUCGUCUUCUUCUGCAAUUUUUCCAGAUCCAGAAGGUGGAGUAGAAGUCAAUACCCUCAAACAAAUAACUGAUUUCAAUGGUAGUGUGUGUUUCAGUAAUAAAAUCCUUCUCGCGACUAAUUUGAUUACUUCAACUGGUUCCUAUUGACGUUGUGGUGGUAGUGAUGAAGUAGAAGAUGACUCAGUUUGCUAAUUAGAUUUCUCGUUACAUUGCUUAUUUUUUUGAGUUGGGUCAUUCUUAGGUUCCAUGACAUGAGCUUUUAAUAGGGCAAGAAACAGAAGGUGGUAACUGGUUAUCAAGAAUUCAGGGUUUGGUUGUAUGCAGAACUUCGUUAUUUGUGAUGUUUUGAUCUUUUUUUUGGUUGGGGUUUUGGUGAUAUGAUCAAUUUUUUUUUUAAAUGUUGAUUUUGAAGAUGAGGAUGAAUAUUUGUGAAGGACCUUAUGGAAUGGGGAUGUGUUUGUUUUCCUGAAGUGGUCAAAUACAGGGAUUGAAUUAUUGAUGAUGGAUUUGCUGGUGGUGGUGGUGGUAGAACUAUUAUUACUUAAGGUGACUGCUAUGAUGGAAAAAUAUAAGAACUAUGACUUCUGGAGAUGUACUAAAGUUUAUUCACAUGGACAAAAUUGUGCCUUCCAGUUGGACAAUCAUACAUUCCUCGGUCAAGUAUAGUGAAGAUUAACUAUCCCAAGCACGAAGAUAUAUACUAUCUUAGAGUUUAUUGAUGAUUGUUGGUUGAGUAUUUGAUUGUUGGUUAAUUGGUUUGUAUUGGUUGUUGAUUGCAGCUUAAGGCUGCUGGAGACAUGAUCAUACAAAGUCAGGUACAUAAACACAAAUUUAUUGUAUUCGAAAAAUCUCCGUCUCAAAGAGAAUCUUUUAGGGAAAAGUUUUUAUUAAAAAUUUAAAGAGAUGUGCAGUUAGAAAGACAACAUUUUUGUAAUAUCAUGUAGACACAUCUAUAUUGAAGUGGUAUUGCGAUAGGUUAAUGUUCUCACUUAGUUGUUCGCAGAAGAUCAGUCUAGUUAGUCUUGCAAAGGGUGUCAUUAAUUCUUGUUUACGACAUUCGAUAUUUACGGAACUUGUUCUUAGUUUUUAAUUAGUGUUAUGGGUUGACUACAAGGGGGAAAUUCAGUUGGAGAAUCCUCACCAAGCAGGGAUAGUUUACCAGUAGAAAGCAUAAUCGAAGACCUGCAGUCGCCGAUCAGAAAGCUCGAACGAUAGCGUACAGUCAAUACGUUAAACUAAAUUCUCGUUCUGACAUUAUUGUCGAUGUUCUUUCAUUUUCUCAUUUCCUUGUUUAAGCCCUUUAACUCCAUAUGAUUUAUUUUUCUGGCCGGUGCUUUGGACCCUUCUAAUAUAUGCUCUUUUUGGGUAUUCACUCUACCAACGAAAACGUCAGCAACAGUGACUGCACAAGUGAAUUUGCUGGAACACCAGUAGCUUUUGAUGCCCCUUCUUUUCUGUUUGUUUUUAGAUGGACCUUGGUAACUCAUAGUCAUUGGGGGUAUUAGGGGUCAAUUUAAAAUAAAAUACAUUGGGUUUUAAGUAGGAAAUCCAAGCGUGUGUUGCCCAUCACCUGUCCCUUCUCGGACUGUGGUUGAGUGAAUCCACCUUGAUUGAAUUGUAUAUAUAUAUUAAUUAAUUAAAAUCAAAUUUAGCAUUCCAUCCCUCUUUUUUCUUAUAGGACUGCCUAUUGGAGAUGAAUUUUCACCCUUCAACAACUCCUAUGACACACUGACACACAUACAAAGCCUGUAAUAUUCAUCGAUUAACCAUAUAAUUAGUCAAAUUUGUCGGUUGGAAUCUUAUCUCCAGAAAUUUCAACAAAAUGAUACUAGGAUCAGAGAGAGAUUAAACUGAAAGGAUAGGUUAGCUGACUUGAGAGUGACUGGAUUGGACAUAUUAACUACUGCUAUUCAAGUUCAACCUAGUCUAAUCGACGUAUGAGUAAGUUGGAGUUCUUAGAGCUAUAAUGCAAUGUUAAUAUGCUAUAAAUAGUAUGUUGUAUCUAGGCCAUUCUGCAUAUUCACUCAUCAAACAAAUUUUAUUAAGUUAAAUUUCUUUUCAUGUCAUGGCUUCUUUCCGUAAGAAUACUGAAGUAACAUUAUUUCCUAUAUUUUUUGUUUAUCUUUAUUUCUUGAUCUAUAUUUUAUCUAGUGAAGUAACAGCUCAUGGAUGCCAUGAAGAGGAAAGAAGGGCUCUCCUCAAUAUCAAGUCAUCUUUGUAUGAUCCUUCAAAUCGCUUGAUCUCUUGGGGAGAAAGCAGACAAAGUGAAAACUGUUGCAAUUGGCACGGAAUUAGAUGUUCAAAUGACACUUUUCAUGUAAUCUCUAUCGACCUUCGAAGCAGAGAACUUGAAAGUUACCAAAUUGAAAAGGAAGAAAUUUUCAAAAUUGAACGAAAAUUGUCCUUUACAUUCAGGCCACCAAAUACUAUGUUGCAAGGUAAAAUCUAGGGCUGCACAACGGGUAGGGUGGGUAGGAUAUGGCCUAUACCCGCCACCCUACUCGUUUACUGGCGGUUAAGAAAAAUUUUACCCGCCACCCUACCCGCCAUUAAACGGGUAAGAUCCUAUCCAACCCAUUUUCUGGCGGGUCGGGUAGGGUAGGGUCGCGGGUAUAACCGUUUAUUUUUUUUUCUUUUGCGAAUUUCGAAGGUUAUUGAACCUGGAAACGAUAAAGAGCCAGAUGAUGUAGAGAUUAAGGUGCCUGAACUUAAUGCUAAAGAUGUGAAACUAUGGAGAAGAUUAUUGCUGGUAAGGUGUUUGAACUAAUACUACAUCACGGUUCUUUGGUUAACCCCAUUAUUUACAUUUACACAUUUUAUUUAAUUUGCUACCAUAAUCACACCAAAUUAGAAGGGACAUGGUUUUCUUUCAACGGAGAUGCAGUAUAACUAGUGCUAGUCGAGCCUUCUUGCUGAUCACUAAAAAAAACCUUCGAGACAGGAGCUUCAUUAGUAUGAACGACGUCAUGUUGUUGUAUUACUAAAACUGAUGAGUUCACACCUCCUGAUGAAGCUAAAAUAUCUCCGAUUGGUUCCAAUUCUGCAUGUUCAGCGGUAUGUUCUGCUAAACUUGCUACCAUCGUCGAUGGAAAUCGACCUUUUCCCACUAUUAUUAAAAAAGGAUAGGGAUUAUUUGGUCUUUUACAUAUAUGAGGCGGGUAAGCGGGUAGGGUAGGAUAAUUUCGGAUUAUAUCCGUCACCCUACCCGCUAACUGGCGGAUGAAAUAAUGUUUACCCGUCACCCUACCCGCCAAAUAGUGGAUAGGAUAGGAUACGGUUAAAAAACUGGCGGGUAGGGUAGAAUUGGCGGGUAAGGGUAGGAUAUGUGCACACCUAGUAAAAUCUCUCCCUCCCUUUUCAACAUUACACAUCUUGAGUAUCUUGAUCUUGCGUACAAUGAUUUUCAGGAAUACAUAUAUAUAUAAUUUUGAAGCUGACUAGUUUUACCAAAUGGUUCCACUCUUUGUAGAACUUGAUAUUAACAUGGUCAGUUUUCUUCCACUAUUGUUUAGUAUGUAGCAUACUAAUAAGGCCUUUGUUGCACAAAUAAUCACUUGUUUAGUAUCUCAGGAAAUUCCCUGCUUGAGAAGUCAUACGGAUUGAUUUCUUUCGUAGUCCAGUAUCUAAACCGGAAACAACACAGCCUAUAGUUCAGGAACAAACAAAAGUUUAAUAUUUGUGCCAACUGAAGAAGGUUCUACGUAACUUUCAUUUUUCUUCUUUUAGCUAUUAAAUGUGUUAGUUCUUUGAGUUUUUGUGUUAAACUGUGCUCUUUAUGUUGUUGGAUUCCACAUGUAUCUUUUAAAAAAACUUAUUAGGACUUGUAUUAUUCGAAUUCAGGAUUUGAAUCCUCUUUAUGUGAUUUUGAAACUAAAUGUCAAUUGAAUUCAGUUAUGGGUUGUGCAAUGAAUACAAUGAAUGUUUAAUGGAAUGGAA